GAUGAACGCUAGCGGGAGGCCUAACACAUGCAAGCCGAGCGGUAGAGUUUCUUCGGAAACUUGAGAGCGGCGCACGGGUGCGUAACACGUGUGCAACCUACCUUUAUCUGGGGGAUAGCCUUUCGAAAGGAAGAUUAAUACCCCAUAAUAUAAUGAUUGGCAUCAAUUAUUAUUGAAAACUCCGGUGGAUAGAGAUGGGCACGCGCAAGAUUAGAUAGUUGGUGAGGUAACGGCUCACCAAGUCAAUGAUCUUUAGGGGUCCUGAGAGGGAGAUCCCCCACACUGGUACUGAGACACGGACCAGACUCCUACGGGAGGCAGCAGUGAGGAAUAUUGGACAAUGGGUGAGAGCCUGAUCCAGCCAUCCCGCGUGAAGGAUGACGGUCCUAUGGAUUGUAAACUUCUUUUGUACAGGGAUAAACCUACCCUCGUGAGGGUAGCUGAAGGUACUGUACGAAUAAGCGCCGGCUAACUCCGUG
rnacentral:rRNA from 1 species